rnacentral:lncRNA from 1 species
CCAGUUCUCAAUGCACCCUCUUGGUGUAAGAUUGUUCAUAUCUUGUUUCUCCCAAUCUAUCCUUGUUUCUUUUAGUGGUUGUUUGUCACAUCAUAUUUGUUGAGAUGAUUUUCAUAAGCCCACUACUAUCUUGUUCUUUUCGUUGUUGGUUUUCUUACCACUAUGUCAAUCCUAUGACCGGAGGCUCUUCUAUUCUAUUGUGAUGGUAGUUGUCAUUCUUUUCUUCCGCUUGAGCUAGUUCAUAUUCUCUUGUUCCGAAGGC